rnacentral:rRNA from 1 species
CUACGGGAGGCACCAGUGGGGAAUAUUGCACAAUGGGCGCAAGCCUGAUGCAGCCAUGCCGCGUGUAUGAAGAAGGCCUUCGGGUUGUAAAGUACUUUCAGCGGGGAGGAAGGGAGUAAAGUUAAUACCUUUGCUCAUUGACGUUACCCGCAGAAGAAGCACCGGCUAACCCCGUGCCAGCAGCCGCGGUAAUACGGAGGGUGCAAGCGUUAAUCGGAAUUACUGGGCGUAAAGCGCACGCAGGCGGUUUGUUAAGUCAGAUGUGAAAUCCCCGGGCUCAACCUGGGAACUGCAUCUGAUACUGGCAAGCGUGAGUCUCGUAGAGGGGGGUAGAAUUCCAGGUGUAGCGGUGAAAUGCGUAGAGAUCUGGAGGAAUACCGGUGGCGAAGGCGGCCCCCUGGACGAAGACUGACGCUCAGGUGCGAAAGCGUGGGGAGCAAACAGGAUUAGAUACCCCCGUAGUC